GACAGAGGAUGCAAGCGUUAUCCGGAAUGAUUGGGCGUAAGGCGUCUGUAGGUGGCUUUUUAAGUCCGCCGUCAAAUCCCAGGGCUCAACCCUGGACAGGCGGUGGAAACUACCAAGCUGGAGUACGGUAGGGGCAGAGGGAAUUUCCGGUGGAGCGGUGAAAUGCGUAGAUAUCGAGAAGAACACCAAUAGCGAAAGCACUCUGCUGGGCCGACACUGACACUGAGAGACGAAAGCUAGGGGAGCGAAUGGG
rnacentral:rRNA from 1 species